AAGCAUUUGGUUUUCUCAGAUCAUCAAAGAAAGGGUGUGCACAUGCCUCCAACUGAAAAUGAAUAUAAAGACUAUGACUUAUUCAAAAUGCCUCAUCAUAUCAAAUCCACGAAAGGAGUCUACAAGCAUGUUUACAUACUACUGGUGAAAUAUGGUCGCCCUCUCAAUAGGCUUCAUAAACUUAUUGAUUGUACACAAGUAGUUUGUAUGUGUUUUCUCAUUAACUACUUUAAGCUUUAUGCUAACUGCAGGAAAAGGCUUAGUCAUUCACUUACAGCAGUACAUCGGAGAGUUGGUGAAUACUGCAGCAACCUUGAGGCCAGAUCUACAGCUUCACGGGGUAUUUUUCUUUGAAAUAUCUGCAAAAUAUUGAGAUUCAAUCUUCAGCGCCUCAGCCUAU
rnacentral:lncRNA from 1 species